UACGGAGGGUGCGAGCGUUGUUCGGAAUCACUGGGCGUAAAGCGCGUGUAGGCGGCCCAUUAAGUCUGAUGUGAAAGCCCGGGGCUCACCCCCCGGAAGUGCAUUGGAAACUGAUGGACUCGAGUCCCGGAGAGGAGAGUGGAAUUCCUGGUGUAGCGGUGAAAUGCGCAGAAUAUCAGGAGGAACACCCGUGCGAAAGCGGCUCUCUGGGGAACGGUACUGACGCUGAGACGCGAAAGCGUGGGGAGCAAACAGG
rnacentral:rRNA from 1 species